rnacentral:rRNA from 1 species
AAUUUUGCGCAAUGGGCGAAAGCCUGACGCAGCAACGCCGCGUGAAUGUUAAGCCCUUCGGGGUGUAAAGUUCUGUCAGUGGGGACGAAACUUGACGGUACCCACAGAGGAAGCACCGGCUAACUCCGUGCCAGCAGCCGCGGUAAUACGGAGGGUGCAAGCGUUGUCCGGAAUCAUUGGGCGUAAAGAGUUCGUAGGCGGUAUGUUAAGUCUGGUGUUAAAGCCCGAAGCUCAACUUCGGUUCGGCACUGGAUACUGGCAAACUUGAAUGUGGCAGAGGUAAAGGGAAUUCCUGGUGUAGCGGUGAAAUGCGUAGAUAUCAGGAGGAACAUCGGUGGCGAAGGCGCUUUACUGGACCAUUAUUGACGCUGAGGAACGAAAGCCGGGGUAGCAAAUGGG